AUUGAACGCUGGCGGCAGGCCUAACACAUGCAAGUCGAACGGUAACAGGAAGAAGCUUGCUUCUUUGCUGACGAGUGGCGGACGGGUGAGUAAUGUCUGGGAAACUGCCUGAUGGAGGGGGAUAACUACUGGAAACGGUAGCUAAUACCGCAUAACGUCGCAAGACCAAAGAGGGGGACCUUCGGGCCUCUUGCCAUCGGAUGUGCCCAGAUGGGAUUAGCUAGUAGGUGGGGUACCGGCUCACCUAGGCGACGAUCCCUAGCUGGUCUGAGAGGAUGACCAGCCACACUGGAACUGAGACACGGUCCAGACUCCUACGGGAGGCAGCAGUGGGGAAUAUUGCACAAAGGGCGCAAGCCUGAUGCAGCCAUGCCGCGUGUAUGAAGAAGGCCUUCGGGUUGUAAAGUACUUUCAGCGGGGAGGAAGGGAGUAAAGUUAAUACCUUUGCUCAUUGACGUUACCCGCAGAAGAAGCACCGGCUAACUCCGUG
rnacentral:rRNA from 1 species